UGGAAGCAGCUAUUCAUUCAAAGAGUGCGUAACAGCUCACUGGUCGAGCGGAGCCGCGUGGAUGAUGAUCGGGCAUCAAGACCGCCGCCGAAGCCGAGGACGGCUGGCGCGAGUCAGUCGUGGUAGGGGAGCAUUCCGGUCGGCGCGGAAGGGAAGUCGCGAGGCUUCCUGGAGCGUCCGGAAAAGAAAAUGUAGGCAUGAGUAACGACAAGGGGCGUAGAAACGCCCCCGCCGAAAACCCAAGGUUUCCGGGGCCACGCUAAACGGCCCCGGGUGAGCCGGGAGCUAACGGUAAGCCGAGAGGCGAUCCGGAUGCACACGCGGUUAAUAUUCCGCGGCCGGCCCGUCGGGCGAUGUCGCGACCGAGAAGUGAAACCUCCGCGCGGAGACGGAAUUCCGCGUUGAAGGCCGUAGGGGGGACCCGAAAGCCGACAGUACGGCGAGCCUCCGGGCGAGCCGACAGCGAGGGUAACCAUGCUCGCGAGAAAAGCGACUAGCGCUAAGAGACGGGCCGCCCGUACCGUAAACCGACACAGGUGGGUGGGGAGAGUAUCCUGAGGCGCUCGAGUGAAUCACGGCCAAGGAACUAGGCAAAUUGACCCCGUAACUUAGGGAUAAGGGGUCCCGCGGCGACGCGGGCGCAGAGAAAUGGCCCAGGCGACUGUUUACCAAAAACAUAUGGCUAUGCGAAAUCGUUAAGAUGACGAAUAUGGCCUGACACCUGCCCGGUGCCGGAAGGUUAAGAGGGGGGGUCACCGAAAGGGAAGCCCUGAAUUGAAGCCCCGGUAAACGGCGGCCGUAACUAUAACGGUCCUAAGGUAGCGAAAUUCCUUGUCGGGUAAGUUCCGACCUGCACGAAUGGUGUAACGAUCUGGGCGCUGUCUCAGCCGUGAGCUCGGUGAAAUUGUAGUGACGGUGAAGAUGCCGUCUACCCGCAACGGGACGAAAAGACCCCGUGAACCUUUACUAUAGCUUAGCGCUGAUCUUGGACGUCGGAUGUGUAGCAUAGGUGGGAGGCUUCGAGGCGCGGCCGCCAGGUCGCGAUUAGCCGCCAAAUGAAAUACCACCCUUCCGUCGUCUGGGGUCUAACUUCGCGAGAAGGACACCGCUUGGUGGGUAGUUUGACUGGGGUGGUCGCCUCCAAAAGAGUAACGGAGGCUUCCCAAGGUCCGCUCAGGACGAAUGGCAACCGUCCGCAGAGUGCAGUGGCAUAAGCGGGCUUGACUGGGAGACAAACAGGUCGAGCAGGUACGAAAGUAGGGCAAAGUGAUCCGGCGGUUCCCCAUGGGAGGGCCGUCGCUCAUAGGACAAAAGGUACUCCGGGGAUAACAGGCUGAUCGCUCCCAAGAG
rnacentral:rRNA from 1 species